CGCCUAAUUUUUUUCUUGCGUAUUAUUGAUGUUUCAAAAGAUGUCGCUUAGAUAUUUGGAAUAUGGUAUCGUAUAGUUUAUACGCUUUAAAAAUUUACAACUGUGUAACAAAAUACUUUACGUUGUAAGAGUUAUCUCCCCAAACACUGUUUUUCUUGUGGCCACUACUCCUUCACAACCGUUAAAGAUUACGACAAAUUUAUUUUACCAAAUUGCUCGUUACAUCUUCAGGAUUAGGAUAUUCAUUUGGACCGAAGCUUUACGGAGACUCCAUAUGAGAGUUAUUCCCCCUUUUCCCUUAAAUUAAGUGAUAUGCAUUUCUAAAUGGUAAACCGUAAGUGAUAAAGACAUAGGGUCUUUAGAUUUGGGGUCCUUGGUCGAAAAUAAUAAAAAUGAGGUCAAGGUCAAAGGUCAAGGUCAUAUUCUAAAUUUUGAUUUUGGCUUAUUUUCAUUUAUUUUCAAAUACCUUAUGACAUAUCGACAAAUAAUUUUUCAUAAAUUGUUAGUUGCGACAUGUCCUUACUUGUAUAUUUUGAUUGAAAGGGUGCGCAGACAAUAAAUAGGAGUUUUUGCCCAUCUUACAUUUAGAAUUACGCGUAAAGUGAUAUUACUAAUAAACCAAACAUAUUAAAGACCUUGGGUCUUUUGAUUUAAGGUCCUUGGUUUGUGAACUUGAAAUUGAGGUCAAGGUCAUAGGUUAAUAUGACGUUCUAGAUUUUGACCUUUGCUUUAAAUUCAUAUAAAUACAUCAUACAGCCAUAGGAACUAACAUUUUAAACUGAUUUUUAAUAUUUCAAUAUCAAAAAAGAUCUUUUCUAGUGGAAAGACCUACAAUUGUUCUCUGAACAAUUGGUUUUUAAUUAUUAUUAAGUUUUUUUUUUUUUCUUCCGACCUAAUUUUUUUUCUU
rnacentral:lncRNA from 1 species